rnacentral:rRNA from 1 species
AGUGAACGCUGGCGGUAGGCCUAACACAUGCAAGUCGAACGGCAGCACAGUAAGAGCUUGCUCUUACGGGUGGCGAGUGGCGGACGGGUGAGGAAUACAUCGGAAUCUACUUUUUCGUGGGGGAUAACGUAGGGAAACUUACGCUAAUACCGCAUACGACCUACGGGUGAAAGCAGGGGAUCUUCGGACCUUGCGCGAUUGAAUGAGCCGAUGUCGGAUUAGCUAGUUGGCGGGGUAAAGGCCCACCAAGGCGACGAUCCGUAGCUGGUCUGAGAGGAUGAUCAGCCAACACUGAACCUGGAACCCGGCCCGGACCCUUAGGGAAGGCACAGUUGGGGAAUAUUGGCCAUGGGGGGCAGCCUGAUCCAGCCAUACCGCGUGGGUGAAGAAGGCCUUCGGGUUGUAAAGCCCUUUUGUUGGGAAAGAAAAGCAGCAGGUUAAUACCCCGCUGUUCUGACGGUACCCAAAGAAUAAGCACCGGCUAACUUCGUG